ACAUGCUUCUUGCUCUCUAGUGCAUCUCUAAUAUCACUAUAUUCUGUCCUUUCACAGCAUAACUGAUGCUUAUGGUCUGAAGUCAGAUUGUUAGUCCGCUUGUGCUUCUAGCUCUCUCUCUCUCUGUGUGGGUGCAUGAACGCGCACAUGCAUGUGUAUAAAAUCAAGUAUGAUACGAGAGUUUAAAAUAAAUAGAUUUGCUGCGUAAACAAUACUGUUAGAAUACACUUUUUAGUCAUAAUUUUGGCCAGCCUGGAGCCUGAUUGAUAUCAGAUGUGUUAGGAUAGAUGGGGAUCCUUCGCAGGACCAACUCGCACUAGUGUUCAAACAAUUGAAUUAAAGUACUAUUGCUUGCCCAGAUCUUUGAAGGGUUGUAAACAAUCCUAAAAGGCAGAUGACUCUUCCAGCUCAAAAAUUGGACUCCAGUUGUGGCUGAGAUGCGUAUCUUGCCAGAUUAUCCCAAGCUGAGCCCAGGUCAGCAGUAGCUUUCCACUAGGCCUGCAACACAAAGCACCUGACUGUGAAAGAAAAUAGCGAGAGAGAUAGAGGGAAAGAGAGAGAGAGAGAGAGAGAGAGAGAGAGAGAGAGAGAGAGA
rnacentral:lncRNA from 1 species